rnacentral:rRNA from 1 species
GACGAACGCUGGCGGCGUGCUUAACACAUGCAAGUCGAACGGAAAGGCCCUGCUUUUGUGGGGUGCUCGAGCGGCGAACGGGUGAGUAACACGUGAGUAACCUGCCCUUGACUUUGGGAUAACUUCAGGAAACUGGGGCUAAUACCGGAUAGGAGCUCCUGCUGCAUGGUGGGGGUUGGAAAGUUUCGGCGGUUGGGGAUGGACUCGCGGCUUAUCAGCUUGUUGGUGGGGUAGUGGCUUACCAAGGCUUUGACGGGUAGCCGGCCUGAGAGGGUGACCGGCCACAUUGGGACUGAGAUAGGGCCCAGAAUCCUACGGGAGGCAGCAGUGGGGAAUAUUGCACAAUGGGCGGAAGCCUGAUGCAGCAACGCCGCGUGCGGGAUGACGGCCUUCGGGUUGUAAACCGCUUUCGCCUGUGACGAAGCGUGAGUGACGGUAAUGGGUAAAGAAGCACCGGCUAACUACGUG